UUAUUAAGGGCUUAUGUGGGAUUGCUUGGCAUUUAAGAUCGAUGAAGGGCGUGGAAACUGACGAUAUGCUUUGGGGAGUUAGAAUCAAAUUUUGAUCCAAAGAUUCCCGAAUGAGGCAACUUGUUUAGUAUUAAAAUAUUAAUGUAUAGAUAUUAUUUUACAGAUAACUCAGUGAACUGAAACAUCUUAGUAACUGAAGGAAAAGAAAGCAAAUGCGAUUUCCUUAUUAGUGGCGAACUAAUUGGAAUUAGUCUAAACCUUAUUAUAGGUGUUGUUGGGAUAUUUUUUGAUUUAAUUUAUUUUUAAAUAAAGAAUUUGUUAGUUACAAAACCAUAGAAGGUUAUUAGUCUUGUAUUUAUUUAAAUAUUUAAAUAGUUAUUUUCCCGAGUAGUAUAGAACACGUGUAAUUCUGUAUGAAUCUGCGAGGACCAUUUCGUAAGACUAAAUAUUUUAAAUGACCGAUAGUGAAUUAGUACCGUGAGGGAAAGCUGAAAAGAACACUGAGAAGUGAGUGAAAUAGAAUAUGAAAACAUAAGCUUACAAACAGUAGGAGGUUUUAAUAAAAAUUCUGACUAUGUGCCUGUUGAAGAAUGAGCCGGCGACUUAUAAGUAGUGGCAGGGUUAAGGAAUUUUAUUCUGAAGCCUUAGAGAAAUCGAGUUUUAAUAAAGCUUUUAUAAUUUUGUUAUUUUAAUUUAUUUAAUUAUAAUGUCAUUUUUUAUAGACCCGAACCCAGGUGAUCUAAUCAUUGUCAGGUUGAAAUUUCUUUAAAAGGUAAUGGAGGACCGAACUCACCAAUGUUGAAAAAUUGGGAGAUGAACAAUGAUUAGUGAAGAAAUUUCAAUCGAACUUGGAGAUAGCUGGAUCUCUCCGAAAUGCGUUGAGGCGCAGCAUUUAAUUAUGUUUAAUAUAGGGGUAAAGCACUGUUUCUAUGAAGGUUAUGAAAAUAAUACUAAGUGGUGGCAAACUUUGAAUACUAUAUUUUAUUACAAUUAAUUAGUGAGACAGUGGGGGAUAAGCUUCAUUGUCGAGAGGGAAAUAGCCCAGAUCACUAUUUAAGGCCCUUAAAUAAUUACUAAGUGAUAAAGGAUGUGAAUUUAUUUAGACAACUAGGAGGUUGGCUUAGAAGCAGCAAUUCCUUUAAAAAGUGCGUAAUAGCUUACUAGUUAAAUGAAUUUGCGCCAAAAAUGAAUGGGACUAAGUAAUUUGCCGAAAAUGUGGGAAUUAUAAUCGGUAGGAGAGCGUUCUAUUUUGAAUGGAAGUAAUAACGUAAGUAAUUAUAGAUUAAAUAGAAGUGAGAAUGUCGGUUUGAGUAACGAAAACAUUGGUGAAAAUCUAAUGCUCCGAAAAUCUAAGGGUUCCUUAGCUAGGUUCGUCCUCUGAGGGUUAAUCAGGUCCUAAAAUGAAGUCUAAAGAUGUAAUUUGAUGGUAAACAGGUUAAUAUUCCUGUAUCAAUUUUGAUAAUGUAAAAAAGAGUUACGAAAAAGGCUAAGUCAUCCAUAAUUUGGUUUAAUGAUGUAAAAAUUUUAAUAAAUUUAAUUAUAUUUUUGAUUUCGGUUUAAUAAAUUUUAUUAGGUUAUUGUUUAUUUUUGCAUUAUUUUUUAUGGUUCAACUGUCUGAGAUGUUGAAAAAUAUUAUAAAAAAUAUUUGAGUUUAGGUUGGAGUACGAUUAGUAUUAUGAUAUUAAAAGUGAUGUAUGUCAUGUUUCCGAGAAAAGCUUUUGUUUUUAAAGUUUUAAAUUGCCUGUACCAUAAACUGACACAAGUGGAUUGGUUGAGUAUACUAAGGAGCUCGGGAUAAUUCUUUCUAAGGAACUCGGCAAAAUAACUUUGUAACUUAGGGAUAAAAAGUACCUUUAAAAGAGGUCUCAGAAAAAAGGUCCAAGCGACUGCUUAACAAAAGCACAAGUCUCCGCGAAGUUGAAAUACGAUGUAUGGGGGCUGAGGCCUGCUCAGUGCAGGAAGGUUAAAGAAAUUGGUUAGCGUUAGCAAAGCUAGUAACUGAAGCCCCUGUGAACAGCGGCAAUAACUAUAAUUGUCCUAAGGUAGCGAAAUUCCUUGUCGGGUAAGUUCCGACCCGCACGAAAGGUUUAACGAUUUGGACGCUGUCUCAGAAAGAAACUCGGUGAAAUAGAAUUGACUGUGAAGAUGCGGUCUACUUGCACUUGGACAGAAAGACCCUAUGAAGCUUUACUGUAACUUGAUAUUGAUUUUGAGUUUUACUUGCGCAGAAUAAGUGGGAGGCUAUGAUAUUAUUUUUAGGGAUAAUUUGAGCUGUAAUAUGAGAUACCACUCUAGAUGGACUAAAAAUCUAAUAUUUAAUCUUAUUUUGAAUUAAGUUGAUAGACAAUUUCAAGUGGACAGUUUUACUGGGGCGGUAGCUCCUAAAAGGUAACGGAGGCGUACAAAGGUUUUUUCAAUUUAUAUGGUAAUUAAAUAUAGAGCGUAAAGGUAUAAAAAAGCUUGACUGUAAGACAUAUAAGUCGAACAGGGAUUAAAGUCGGUCUUAAUGAUCCGGCGAUACUGGAUGGAAAGGUCGUCGCAAACAGAUAAAAGUUACUCUAGGGAUAACAGGCUGAUCUCCCCCAAGAGUUCAUAUCGACGGGGAGGUUUGGCACCUCGAUGUCGGCUCAUCGCAACCUGGAGCGGUAGUUUGUUUCAAGGGUUGGGCUGUUCGCCCAUUAAAGCGGUACGUGAGCUGGGUUCAGAACGUCGAGAGACAGUUCGGUCCAUAUCCGGUGUGAGCGUUAGAGUAUUGAAAGGAUUUUUUCUUAGUACGAGAGGACCAGAAAAAACAUACCUAUGGUAUACCAGUUUUUGUACCAGCAGAAUAUGCUGGGUAGCUACGUAUGGAGUGGAUAACUGCUGAAAGCAUAUAAGUAGGAAGCCUACCUUAAGAUAAGUACUCUUUAAUAGAUUAUGGUAAAAUUAACCGUUAGAUAGGUAUUAGGUAUAAAAAUAGUGAUAUUUAGCUGAGAUAUACUAAUAAAUCGAAAA
rnacentral:rRNA from 1 species